rnacentral:rRNA from 1 species
ACAUGCAAGUCGAGGGGAAACGAUAUUGGAAGCUUGCUUUCGAUGGGCGUCUACUGGCGCACGCUCUGAGUAACGCGUAUCCAACCUGCCCAUCACUUGGGGAUAACCUUGCGAAAGUAAGACUAAUACCCAAUGACGUCUCUAGAAGACAUCUGAAGGAGAUUAAAGAUUUAUCGGUGAUGGAUGGGGAUGCGUCUGAUUAGCUUGUUGGCGGGGUAACGGCCCACCAAGGCGACGAUCAGUAGGGGUUCUGAGAGGAAGGUCCCCCACAUUGGAACUGAGACACGGUCCAAACUCCUACGGGAGGUUUUCAGUGAGGAAUAUUGGUCAAUGGGCGAGAGCCUGAACCAGCCAAGUAGCGUGCAGGAUGACGGCCCUAUGGGUUGUAAACUGCUUUUAUAAGGGAAUAAAGUGAGCCUCGUGAGGCUUUUUGCAUGUACCUUAUGAAUAAGGACCGGCUAAUUCCGUGCCAGCAGCCGCGGUAAUACGGAAGGUCCGGGCGUUAUCCGGAUUUAUUGGGUUUAAAGGGAGCGUAGGCCGGAGAUUAAGCGUGUUGUGAAAUGUAGAUGCUCAACAUCUGAACUGCAGCGCGAACUGGUUUCCUUGAGUACGCACAAAGUGGGCGGAAUUCGUGGUGUAGCGGUGAAAUGCUUAGAUAUCACGAAGAACUCCGAUUGCGAAGGCAGCUCACUGGAGCGCAACUGACGCUGAAGCUCGAAAGUGGGGGUAUCGAACA